rnacentral:rRNA from 1 species
UACGAAGGGGGCUAGCGUUGCUCGGAAUCACUGGGCUUAAAGGGCGCGUAGGCGGCGCCCCUAGUCGGUCGUGAAAUCCCCGGGCUCAACCCGGGGGCUGCGAUCGAUACGGGGGCGCUGGAGGGCGGUAGAGGCUCGCGGAAUUUCCAGUGUAGCGGUGAAAUGCGUAGAUAUUGGGAAGAACACCGGUGGCGAAGGCGGCGAGCUGGCCAGUUUCUGACGCUGAGGCGCGACAGCGUGGGGAGCAAACAGG